rnacentral:rRNA from 1 species
GACGAACGCUGGCGGCGUGCUUAACACAUGCAAGUCGAACGGAAAGGCCCUGCUUUUGUGGGGUGCUCGAGUGGCGAACGGGUGAGUAACACCUGAGUAACCUGCCCUUGACUUUGGGAUAACUUCAGGAAACUGGGGCUAAUACCGGAUAGGAGCUCCUGCUGCAUGGUGGGGGUUGGAAAGUUUCGGCGGUUGGGGAUGGACUCGCGGCUUAUCAGCUUGUUGGUGGGGUAGUGGCUUACCAAGGCUUUGACGGGUAGCCGGCCUGAGAGGGUGACCGGCCACAUUGGGACUGAGAUACGGCCCAGACUCCUACGGGAGGCAGCAGUGGGGAAUAUUGCACAAUGGGCGGAAGCCUGAUGCAGCAACGCCGCGUGCGGGAUGACGGCCUUCGGGUUGUAAACCGCUUUCGCCUGUGACGAAGCGUGAGUGACGGUAAUGGGUAAAGAAGCACCGGCUAACUACGUG